rnacentral:lncRNA from 13 species
GUAAGUCUGGGUUGAGGCCAGUGACUUUCUAUCUCUAUCAAGCUCCUGGGUGAUUUUGAUGCCGCUGGCCCAGGGAACACCGUGUGGGAAUCACUGGUUAAUCAGAAGCGCUAUAGCCAAGAGUUCUCAGUGUAUGGAGGGACAGAUCCUGCUUUCAGUUCAUCCUUGGCGAAUGCUGGUCAAAAUUCUACAUGAUAUCACAACAGAAAUCUUCAGUUAACAGUCCUGGAGAGGACUCAAGCUCUGUUCCAUCUCCACCUCCUUGGGUUUGGGUGAUCGUGGCCAAGAAUCAAAAGUGGACUUGGAUCCAGUGGCUUGGCAA